UUGGAGGGCAAGUCUGGUGCCCGCAGCCGCGGUAAUUCCAGCUCCAAUAGCGUAUAUUAAAGUUGUUGCAGUUAAAAAGCUCGUAGUUGAAUUUCGGGAUCAAUUUAUUGGUCGUGCUAUUGUACGUACUGGUAUUAUUGAUUCCUACCUUCUGACGAACCAUGAUGUCAUUAAUUUGGUGUCUUGGGGAAUCAGGACUGUUACUUUGAAAAAAUUAGAGUGUUUAAAGCAGGCUCACGCUUGAAUACAUUAGCAUGGAAUAACGAAAUAGGACGUUUGAUUCUAUUUUGUUGGUUUCUAGGAUCGACGUAAUGAUUAAUAGGGAUAGUUGGGGGCAUUAGUAUUCAAUUGUCAGAGGUGAAAUUCUUGGAUUUAUUGAAGACUAACUACUGCGAAAGCAUUUGCCAAGGAUGUUUUCAUUAAUCAAGAACGAAAGUUAGGGGAUCGAAGACGAUCAGAUACCGUCGUAGUCUUAACCAUAAACCAUGCCGACUAGGGAUCGGAUGAUGUUAAUUUUUUAAUGACUCAUUCGGCGCCUUACGGGAAAC
rnacentral:rRNA from 1 species